rnacentral:rRNA from 1 species
CCUACGGGAGGCAGCAGUGGGGAAUAUUGGUCAAUGGGCGCAAGCCUGACCCAGCAACGCCGCGUGAAGGAAGAAGGCUUUCGGGUUGUAAACUUCUUUUCUCAGGGACGAAGCAAGUGACGUUACCUGAGGAAUAAGCCACGGCUAACUACGUGCCAGCAGCCGCGGUAAUACGUAGGUGGCAAGCGUUAUCCGGAUUUACUGGGUGUAAAGGGCGUGUAGGCGGGGACGCAAGUCAGAUGUGAAAACCACGGGCUCAACCUGUGGCCUGCAUUUGAAACUGUGUUUCUUGAGUACUGGAGAGGCAGACGGAAUUCCUAGUGUAGCGGUGAAAUGCGGAGAUAUUAGGAGGAACGCCAGUGGCGAAGGCGGUCUGCUGGACAGCAACUGACGCUGAGGCGCGAAAGCGUGGGGAGCAAACAGGAUUAGAUACCCUAGUAGUC